GUGCUCGCUUCGGCAGCACAUAUACUAAAAUUGGAACGAUACAGAGAAGAUUAGCAUGGCCCCUGCACAAGGAUGACAUGCAAAUUUGUGAAGCGUUCCAUAUUUAA
rnacentral:snRNA from 1 species